rnacentral:rRNA from 1 species
CCCCGGCGCCACAAGUGGUUAUCACGAUUAUUGGGCCUAAAGCGUUCGUAGCCGGUUUGGUAAAUCUCUUGUGAAAUUGUUCGGCUUAACCGGACAGCGUGCAGGAGACACUGCCAAACUCGAGACCGGGAGGGGUUAGAAGUAUUCCAUGGGGACUGGUAAAAUGGGAUAAUCCAUGGAAGACUACCGAUGGCGAAGGCAUCUAACCAGAACGGAUCUGACGGUGAGGAACGAAAGCCAGGGGAGCGAACCGG